GGUCUUGCCUGCCCUGUGACCCCUGGUUCAACGGCCGCGGUAUUUUAACCGUGCAAAGGUAGCGCAAUCACUUGUCUCUUAAAUGAAGACCUGUAUGAAUGGCACAACGAGGGCUUAACUGUCUCCUUUCCCCGGUCAAUGAAAUUGAUCUUCCCGUGCAGAAGCGGGAAUCCUAACAUAAGACGAGAAGACCCUAUGGAGCUUUAGACUCCAGAACAGAUCAUGUAAGCUACCACCAUAAAAUAGGUAACAACCAUUGAACUUCUGUUCCCCUGUCUUCGGUUGGGGCGACUACGGGGGACAAAAAAACCCCCAUGUGGACCAGGAGCACAUUACUCCUACAACCAUGAGCCACAGCUCUAAUGCACGAAACAUUUGACCAUUAGAUCCGGCAAAGCCGAUUAACGGACCAAGUUACCCUAGGGAUAACAGCGCAAUCCCCUUUAAGAGUUCCUAUCGACAAGGGGGUUUACGACCUCGAUGUUGGAUCAAGACAUCCUAAUGGUGCAGCCGCUAUUAAGGGUUCGUUUGUUCAACGAUUAAAGUCUU
rnacentral:rRNA from 1 species